rnacentral:rRNA from 1 species
CAUUAUGGUCAUUUUAUAUGGCUGGCGAUAGAUCAUUCAAGUUUCUGACCUAUCAGCUUUCGACGGUAGUGUAUUGGACUACCGUGGCAGUGACGGGUAACGGGGAAUUAGGGUUCGAUUCCGGAGAGGGAGCCUGAGAAACGGCUACCACAUCUAAGGAAGGCAGCAGGCGCGCAAAUUACCCAAUCCUGACUCAGGGAGGUAGUGACAAGAAAUAACAACACUGGAAAUUUUAUUUCUAGUGAUUGGAAUGAUGGGAAUUUAAACCCCUUUCAGAGUAACAAUUGGAGGGCAAGUCUGGUGCCAGCAGCCGCGGUAAUUCCAGCUCCAAUAGCGUAUAUUAAAGUUGUUGCAGUUAAAAAGCUCGUAGUUGGAUGUCUGCUGGAAGCAAUCAGUCCGCCCUAUUUGUAGGGUGUGCACUUGAUGAAUUCUGGCAUCUAUAUCCCAAUAAUAUGAUGGUGUAUACCCUGUGUACACCCAUCUAUAUUGGGAUAAUACCGUUACUUUGAGAAAAUUAGAGUGUUUGAAGCAGGCUAAUUGCCUUGAAUACUGCAGCAUGGAAUAACAAUAUAGGAUUUCGGUUCUAUUUUGUUGGUUUCUAGGACUGAAAUAAUGAUUAAUAGGGACAGUUGGGGGCAUUCGUAUUUAACUGUCAGAGGUGAAAUUCUUAGAUUUGUUAAAGACGAACUACUGCGAAAGCAUUUGCCAAAGAUGUUUUCAUUAAUCAAGAACGAAAGUUAGGGGCUCGAAGACGAUCAGAUACCGUCGUAGUCUUAACCAUAAACUAUGCCGACUAGAGAUAGGAAAAUGUCAUUUUUCUGACUUCU